rnacentral:tRNA from 1 species
GGCUCUGUGGCGCAAUGGAUAGCGCAUUGGACUUCUACAUAAAUAAAGGUAUUCAAAGGUUGUGGGUUCGAGUCCCACCAGAGUCG